rnacentral:rRNA from 1 species
UACAGAGGUCUCAAGCGUUGUUCGGAUUCAUUGGGCGUAAAGGGUGCGUAGGCGGCGCGGUAAGUCGGGUGUGAAAUCUCGGAGCUUAACUCCGAAACUGCAUUCGAUACUGCCGUGCUUGAGGACUGGAGAGGAGACUGGAAUUUACGGUGUAGCGGUGAAAUGCGUAGAUAUCGUAAGGAAGACCAGUGGCGAAGGCGGGUCUCUGGACAGUUCCUGACGCUGAGGCACGAAGGUCAGGGAGCAACGGG